AUCUACUACCCUUUCCAUAGCACUGUUACUGCUCCCACUGGAAGGCUGUUCCAGGUAUCUACUACCCUUUCUAUAUCACUGUUACUGCUCCCACUGGAAGGCUAUUCCAGGUAUCUACUACCGUUUCUAUAUCACUGUUACUGCUCCCACUGGAAGGCUAUUCCAGGUAUCUACUACUCUUUCUAUAUCACUGUUACUGCUCCCACUGGAAGGCUAUUCCAGGUAUCUACUACCCUUUCUAUAUCACUGUUACUGCU